rnacentral:ribozyme from 12 species
AAUACUGAAGAUUAAGAUGAACACCACGCCAGUAAUAAUAGAUAAAGAAACCCCAUAUGAAGAAGAGAAACUGGUAUUACCUGGCCUUUUAACUUUACUAUUUUUUCUCUUCCUUUUCUUCUUUUUCUUCUUAACCUUCGUGG